UACAUGGGGUGCAAACGUUGCUCGGAAUCAUUGGGCGUAAAGCGCGCGUAGACGGUUGCUUAAGUCGGAUGUGAAAGCCCUCGGCUUAACUGAGGAAGUGCAUCCGAAACUGAGCAGCUAGAGUACGAGAGAGGGUCGCGGAAUUCCCGGUGUAGAGGUGAAAUUCGUAGAUAUCGGGAGGAACACCGGUGGCGAAGGCGGCGACCUGGGUCGAGACUGACGCUGAGGCGCGAAAGCGUGGGGAGCAAACAGG
rnacentral:rRNA from 1 species